GUGACUUCUCACUGCUACCAACAAACACACAGUGGCUUGAGAUGAAGCAGCGCUAGUCAAAAUGCUUAUAAAUUGCAAGUGAGGUUAAGCCAGGGCCUACAGGGCCCUCCUUCAGAGUCUCAGAAAAUGGAGGAUGGAGCCGAAGCGCGUCUGCUUUGCAAAGCUUGCCCUGGGUGCGUCUCAUCAUCAGAGCUAUGCUUACUUCUGAGCUGAGAGACUUCUUUAUGUAAUUUCACCUUGCCACCAUCCAAGAGGGGUUCGCCACAACAAAAUCCUCCUCUCCGAAGGGACUUAGUCAAUCACAUCUGCAAUCCAGCUUGACCUCUGCUUUCAACUCGGGCAGGCGAGGACGUCUGCAACUGCUCCUGGGUCACAGCACAGCAGGCUGCUGCCAUGCCCAAGGCAGUCAUCAGCUCACAGAUUUCGGCUUGACUCUUAUGGACUGGGGAUGCCAAAAUGCACCCCAAACUACUUGUCAGCAAUUAGGAGCCCAGGAAAUAGGGAUCAGGCUUGCCAGACAGGGAGACGUUUUAAGCAUCAAAAAGGUUGGCCAAGCUUGCACAAGAGCAGGCCUGGCGUGGGGGUGACAGAAGAGUGAUUCGCAAACCAUCAAAGGGCAGAGUCCAGUUCUACUGAUGCAAUGCAGCCUUUGUUCAGAAGGGACCAUACGUCGUAACAGGAACUGACAGAAAUUCAGAAAAACUGGUUUUUAGAUUGAAAAGCAGUGAUCGGUCUUGACAGGAUCCUUUCUACUCAGUUUUACCCCCUGCACUUUCCAGAAGCCAACACCAGCCAGCAGUGUAGUCUCCCUCCCCCAAAGUUCAAAGGGUGAGAUGUGAACACAGGCAGUAAAAAGCCCUGAAUGUCUGUGGCUUGUAGGGGUCGUAAUUCUUUCCCACAAAGUUACCUUUCCUGUUUCUAUGAAUUACUCUUACAUUCUUGUAAGAGAUAUGGUUUGAGGUAUUUAUGGUGCAUUCAAUUCUGCUAUCAUUGAUUUAUUGAACGAAACCAGCUCAGGGAUAUGAUGGAAAGGCCCUAAUUCCAAAAACUCUUACAUCUCGGCACGAAGAGCAUUUUCUGCCCUGUUGGCCUCCUGCAGAUGACCAGCCGAGAUAAACAGAGGGCACUCCACUCUCUGUUGCAAUGUGCGUGGUGAUGUGAAGGAAUCAAUCAGACAAAAGCAGAUUAUUACAGUGUCUGAGAGAGAUCAAACAGUGCUGGCAUCCGCACCCACACACGCCUGAUUUACAGGCGAGCUGAUAAAGUGCUACAGCUCACUGUCAGGAGAACAUGACAACUCCUUGAGCUCUGUGGAUAAAUUAUUGCUGAAGCCCAUGAUA